ensembl:lncRNA
UUUUAGUGUUGUUGCUGUAGUUUUAGUUUUGUUGCUGUAGUUUUAGUGUUGUUGCAGUAGUUUUAGUGUUGUUGUGGUGUUUUUAGUGUUGUUGCUGUAGUUUUAGUGUUGUUGCAGUAUUUUAGUGUUGUUGCUGUAGUUUUAGUUUUGUUGUUGUAUUUGUUUUGUUGCAGUAGUUUUAGUUUGUUUUGUUGCAGUAGUUUUAGUUUGUUUUGUUGCAGUAGUUUUAGUUUGUUUUGUUGCAGUAGUUUUAGUUGUUUUGUUGCAGUAGUUUUAGUGUUGUUGCUGUAGUUUUAGUGUUGUUGCUGUAGUUUUAGUUUUUGUUGUUGCUGUAGUUUUAGUUUUGUUGUUGUAGUUUUAGUUUUUUUGUUGUAGUUUUAGUUUGUUUGUUGCAGUAGUUUUAGUUUGUUUUGUUGCAGUAGUUUUAGUUUGUUUUGUUGCAGUAGUUUUAGUUUGUUUUGUUGCAGUAGUUUUAGUUUGUUUUGUUGCAGUAGUUUUAGUGUUGUUGCAGUAGUUUUAGUGUUGUUGCAGUAGUUUUAGUUUUGUUGCUGUAGUUUUAGUGUUGUUGCUGUAGUUUUAGUGUUGUUGCUGUAGUUUUAGUGUUGUUGCUGUAGUUUUAGUGUUGUUGCAGUAGUUUUAG